CUAGGAUAACAGGACUCGAACCUGCACCGAAGAACUCAAAACUCUUUGUGCUCCCAUUACACUACAUCCUA